GAAAUUGGGUUCUCCACCUCCGCAGCACCUUUAUUUUGGGCUAUGAAGCUUUGGAAGGACAGCAGGGAAUACAAACUGGCUAUGGGUUGUCUUCUAUAUUAUUCUUUUAUGUACCAAAAAAAAAAAAAAAGAAAAGAAAAAAAAAGGCAGAAGAAGAAAAAAAGAAAAACAAAAACCUUUCCAGUUCCAAGGGAGUCACACAAAAGACACAUACCAACAAAAGGCCACGUGAGGACACAGUGAGAAGCUGGAAGUCUACAACCCAGAAGAGAGACCUCAACAGAACCUAACCAUGCUGGUACCCUGAUCUCAGACACCCAGCCUCCAGAAGAGUGAAAAAAUACAAUUCUUAUUUCUAAGCAA